UACGUAGGGAGCAAGCGUUGUCCGGAUUCACUGGGUGUAAAGGGUGCGUAGGCGGGAAGGUAAGUCCGCGGUGAAAUCUCACAGCUCAACUGUGAAACUGCCGUUGAUACUGCUUUUCUUGAGUUCGGGAGAGGUUGAUGGAAUUCCAGGUGUAGCGGUGAAAUGCGUAGAUAUCUGGAAGAACACCAGUGGCGAAGGCGGUCAACUGGCCCGUAACUGACGCUGAGGCACGAAAGCGUGGGGAGCGAACAGG
rnacentral:rRNA from 1 species